CGCGCUCCGCCGCCCCCGCGCUCCCUACGUGGCCCGAGCCCCCAGCCCCCGGCAGCGCCGGGUGGGGGUCGAGGCCGGGCUCGGUCCUGUGCUGCCGUCAGGGCUGCGUGGGCCAGGAGGCGCGCCCAGGUGUGUUGUGCAGCUUUCUAGGCUUUAACUCCGCAGCCUGCCCGGGAGGGAGGGGGAUUCUCGGCUUGCUCCUGUAAAGCAGCUUGAGGCCCUGGGACUGCCGGCAGCGCAAGGAGCUGGGGUCAGGCUGCUGCCAGUGCAGCUGGAACAAAGUAACACAGAGCAAGCAGUUAGAGCACUGAAGAGAUUAAUUCCAGCAUUCCCCUUAGGUAUGACAAGAAACUGGCCACAACGGAGACAAAAUGGAAAGGUUAUUCCUCCCACUUUGGUGCAG